rnacentral:tRNA from 1 species
GUACUACUCGUAGAAGUACAAUUACUACUAGUACCACUCGUAGUAGUACAAGUACUACUAGUACUACUCGUAGUAGUGCAAGUACUACUAGUACUACUC